AGCAGCCGCGGUAAUUCCAGCUCCAAUAGCGUAUAUUAAAGUUGUUGCAGUUAAAAAGCUCGUAGUUGAAUUUCGGUGUCAGUAGAUUGGUCGUGCCACUGGUAUGCACUGGUCUUACUGGCUCCUCCUUCCUGAUGAACCGUAAUGCCAUUAAUUUGGUGUUGCGGGGAGACUGGACUGUUACUUUGAAAAAUUGAGUGUUUAAAGCAGGCUAACGCUUGAAUACAUUAGCAUGGAAUAAUGAAAUAGGACGUUCGAUCUUAUUUUGUUGGUUUCUAAGAUUGACGUAAUGGUUAAUAGGGAUAGUUGGGGGCAUUAGUAUUCAAUUGUCAGAGGUGAAAUUCUUGGAUUUAUUGAAGACUAACUACUGCGAAAAGCAUUUGCCAAGGAUGUU
rnacentral:sRNA from 1 species